AGGUGGUUAUAAGAAAGAAAGAAGUGGAAACAAUUGACAUCCAUUGAUGACGUCUUUUGAGUAGUCACGUGCGUAUCAUCUGGAACAAGAAUGUGUCCUGUUCCAAACAGUAAGGGAAACAGAACAUGUUGGAGGAUCGACUGAGCAGGACCGUCUCUGAUCACCACGUGUGGUCAUUACACCCAGAUGCGGCCAGAUCCAUUUUCCAGCUCUGGGGGACUCCCCAAAUGGACCUGUUUGCAACAAAACCCAACAGAAAAUGCCAUCAGUUUUGCUCCAAGGAAAGUUUCAGCCCGGGCUCACUUACGGAUACUUUUCUGCUUCCCUUAAACAACGGAGCUCCAAGGUCUCCAGCUGACUCUUCUUUCGCAUGCCUGAUGUAACAACCUGUGUGAGACUUUGAGGGAGAAGCAGAGGCUGCAAGAGGGAAGGGUUAAGAGAAGGCACCAGGAAGCCAGUCUGUGUGCACAAGGCUUGAAUCCUAGCUGUAGUUGCAGCACCUUUGUAAAUAGUUCUCUUAAUAAAGAGCAGUUUAGUUUUUCAA